AUGCCUUAAACUUAUGAGUAAGGAAAAUAAUGAUUCAAGGUGAUGCCGAAUCCUCACUGCUAAAGUGAGACAAAUUUUUGAGUGGCUAAAGGUCACCCCUAAGGUGACCCGCCUACUUUGUGGGCUGCCUGGGAGCUGCAAUCUGCCCA
rnacentral:snRNA from 1 species